rnacentral:rRNA from 1 species
GACGAACGCUGGCGGCGUGCUUAACACAUGCAAGUCGAACGGAAAGGCCCCCUUGUGGGGUACUCGAGUGGCGACCGGGUGAUUAACACCUGAGUAACCUCCCCUUGUCUUUGUGAUAACUUCAGGAAACUGGUGCUACUACCGGCUAGGAGCUCCUGCUGCUUGGUGGGGGUUGGAAAGCUUCGGCGGUUGGGGAUGGACUCGCGGCUUAUCAGCUUGUUGGUGGGGUAGUGGCUCACCAAGGCUUUGACGGGUAGCCGGCCUGAGAGGGUGACCGGCCACAUUGGGACUGAGAUACGGCCCAGACUCCUACGGGAGGCAGCAGUGGGGAAUAUUGCACAAUGGGCGGAAGCCUGAUGCAGCAACGCCGCGUGCGGGAUGACGGCCUUCGGGUUGUAAACCGCUUUCGCCUGUGACGAAGCGUGAGUGACGGUAAUGGGUAAAGAAGCACCGGCUAACUACGUG